AUUGAACGCUGGCGGCAGGCUUAACACAUGCAAGUCGAGCGAGCGGCGGACGGGUGAGUAAUGUCUGGGAAACUGCCUGAUGGAGGGGGAUCGCUAAUGGACACGGUAGCUAAUAACGCCUACCAUCAGAUGCGCCCAGAUGGGCUUAGCUAGUAGGGGGGGUAAUGGCUCACCUAGGCGACGAUCCCUAGCUGGUCUGAGAGGAUGACCAGCCACACUGGAACGGAGACACGGUCCAGCCUCCUACGGGAGGCAGCAGUGGGGAAUAUUGGACAAUGGGCGAAAGCCUGAUGCAGCCAUGCCGCGUGUGUGAAGAAGGCCUUCGGGUUGUAAAGCACUUUCAGCGAGGAGGCGUUACUCGCAGAAGAAGCACCGGCGAACUCCGUGCCAGCAGCCGCGGUAAUUC
rnacentral:rRNA from 1 species